GUCUCUAGGGGCAUUAUAGGCGUGGCUUCUGUGUCACGCGUGUGUUAGUAGGUGGC
rnacentral:snoRNA from 1 species